ACUGAUUAAAUGAGAUUUUUAUUUUGUCCAACAUAUUGUUCACAUUAUGUUACACUAUUGUGAGAGGAUUAUCUUUUCUGUUGUUUUGCUCUGCUAGAAACGCCUGUUUUGUUCCGUAUUAGCCAUCUAACCUCAGUCCAAACCAAUAGAAUUUAAAAAGGUUGUUCUUUAUGAUAUAUGGUUGUGACUCAGUCUACAGGUGUAGGUUAAAGGCAGCAGGCUAAAUUUGGUUGAAAACUAAAAGUUUUUUAGACUUCUAUGUCAGAGGUUCCUAACCUUUUUGACGUGUGGCCCUUUAAAAUGAAGCAAUGUCUUCUCUCAAUGUCUGAGCAGUUCAACCAAAACUGAUGUUCCCUGUUGAGACUGUUUCAUUUAAAUAAUCUUUAGAGGCCUGAAGUGAUGAAAUUAUCCAUUAUUUUACAAUUCAAAGCAAAGAUUAGAGGAAAGUCAGAAAAAAAUAUAAUAUCUGCUGAGGAAGACUGUGAGGUGUGGUUUAAAGCUCUGGAAAAAACAGUAAGUGGACCUUGAGUUUGAAGGUCUUGUAAAUAAUCUCACGAGCCCUCAGAUUUUUCCUGGGUUGGGAACCACUGGUCUUGGUUGCAUAUUACAGUUGUUUCAACAGCAUUUGUAUCAGUAUAUUUCAAACUUGGAAAAAAAUAGAAAAAUAGUCAUUUAGAUGCUAUUAAAACAAUGUUUGUAUGUGACCUAGACAUCUCUGACUUAUUAACCAAAUUUAGCCUGGUUUUAACCUAGACAUCUAGACACCUUUUGACCUAAAAAAACACUGAAUCAGUAUUUGCUGUAGUAGAAAACAUCCAGGCACAUAGAUCAAACCAUUGAAACCCAGCCAAUAUUUGACAGAUGAUCAUUUGCAGGUAGAUGUGGCCACGUUCAACCCAAAUAAGCACAGAAUUUUAAAAACAGCAUGGUAACAACAAUUCACAUUAGAACAGCUUAUAUUUACCACUAUCAACACAGUAUGAUAAAACUUUAUUCUAGCUUGCUGCACUACCUGCGUAUUGAAUAAAAGAUCAAAACAAGCACGAUUUCUAUUUGACAGAUAAAAUCACGCUCAACAAAAUUCAUCAUCUUUUUCUACCUACAUUAACCCUUUAGGGCACCUUCUGUGGCCUCUUGAGGGGUGUGAGGGUCCCUUACUGUGUCUGUUAUGAUGUAGAUAUAUAUUCGGGUGAAAGGCAAGGGCACUAUUCACUACCUCAGGAUUAAUGACAACAUCAUUGCCAUUGCCAUGCUGACCAGCCCCAUAUUUCCAUUGGCUGGAUAAAGAGGAGAGGGAAGACAGGGGUGGGAGUGGGGGGAAAUAUGAGCAUCCUGUCGGCAGGAUGAUGGACAGGUCCUCAGUCCAGCUCCCCCAGGUCCCCCCUGUGCUCAUUCUUUACUGGCCUGAGCUGGCUAUCGAGGCAGCGUCUCUGCGGCCAAGGACACAGGGGUGUCAGCAAUGAGUCUGGGUAACAUCGUUCAUCAGGCCGCAUCGGUAAUGGGUAGCUCUCUGUGACAGUGGUCAUCAGGACACAAAAGCAAAAGGGCCCAUAAACAUCACAUGACAGAUGGCUGGGAGGACAGCUUCGGACAGGGAGGGAGGGAUGGAGAGCGAGAGAUAAAGUGAGAUAGAGAGAGAUGGAGAAGGACAGAGGUGGAAGAGAGAUCUCAGACUGGAUUGUUAAGUCUCAUGAAAAGUCUCAAGCGCUGGAUGGUUUAUGAAUGCCCAUGUUCAAUGUCAGCUGUGAAGGGAAACACUGGAAAUCACAGGGGGAACAGUUGCAAUUGAUGUCCAACAAAAACACCAAAAAUGAGUGCAGUCAGUAUCAAAUAGCCCCAGUAAAUCAGCUGAUAUGCUGAAAUGAAUGCAACAUUUUCUGUCCUAUUAUUGCAGUAAAAACACACAUGACUCUAGCCCUUUUGCUCCAGAGAUAAAACAGUUUUCAACAAUAGAUUUUGUUGAAAACAUGAAGAAAGAUUAUUCAGGAUUUUAUUUAAGAACAUUUUAUUUCUCGUACUCAAUUUAGUGAACACAAAUUUGUGUUUUUCCCACUCCCAUCAGUUCAUUUGCUUCCAUGUCAGAUGACUGGCCAAUUAGUGGGUUGAAACCGUUUAACCUCCAGCAUGGCGCAAACGGUUAAACGGGGGGACUGAUAUGAAAGAGGUGUUUGCUUAAAAGCCUGACAUAGAGAGAAAAAAGUUUUGCUUAAAAAGAAAGGAUAAGAGAUUGUUUGAGGAGACAUCUUCAGAGAUUCAAGCCUGCAGUGCAGAUGUGUCAGAAGAUUUCAUCAAAAGGAUGUUUGGCACAACUCCGACUUUGAAGAGUUUGACAAAUAAGCACGCCGAGUUGGCCUGAGGAGGAGGAUGUUUUUAAAUAAAUUACGGUCUAAGCAGUCUGAGGUGGGGUGAAAGUUAAGGAAUAAUUAUGGAGGUGAUAGCAAUGACAGAAUGUGAGAAACAGGUUGUGUGAAAAUGAGGUGAGGGUGAGGGUGUCGAGGGCUGUCGUGGAAGUGACUGCAGAACCAGUUGUAGGUCCCUGUGGAGGGAAGACAAUUGUUGUAUUAGCAACACCUUUGUCACCCCAGGAUGUAUACUUUGUCUUCACGUGUUUACAGGGAAAUCAAGUCCCAAAUGUGAGGUAUCAUCUUCAAAAUACAGGGAAAUGUAGCUCCCUGCCCUCCAAAGUGACGCCGAGGGCCUUGGUGCGUCUUUCUUUGUUUUCUGGAAACAGCCUUGCCCGUCCAUUAAUCGUCAUCCAUCCAUCCUGUGCACCUGUAUAUAAAAGGGAAAUUAGAAUAUCCAUCACUCGAGCACAACGUCAGCGUGAUUGAUGGGUUAGUCACAGGAUCCCCUCCGUUUCCUACCCAAGUCUGUGUUUCAGGAGUGAGAAGUGAACAUUAUCUAGCACCAUGAUCAGAUUUAGUCUGCACAUUUCCAUCUAGGAGAGCAUUUUGAGUGGAUGAUACACAAUCCCUAUGAGGAGGCAGCCAGCAGAAGGUUUAUGGAAAUCUAAUAUCAUAAGGCUUUUUGGUUUGUUAGACUUGUUAUUCAUGGAGUGGGCUGGUGACACUUUUGAUGUAACAGUAUAAGACAAUGUAACGAGGCAGAAUCUCAUUUUGUUGAAGUGUUUCUGUCAAACUCUGGUCUGAAAGAUGAUUGGGAAGAUCUGUGCAAACAGGUUUUGAGUGGGGUGUGCUAAGACUAAAAUACCAACUGUUCUCAGAGAAAAGCCUUUGGUAAAUAACAGGAAACGUCCUCUGAGAAGGCGAUGUGAAUGCCAGAGAGCGCGGGAUGCACAUUUGCCUUUUAUGUUAAGCAGGCAGUAUUUAAACAAAAGGUAUAAAUAGAGUCAUUGCAAACAGACGAUGAGAAAUAAACUGAUGUAUCAGAUCGACUUCGGCCUUUUAUUAAUAAAACUGCUGGCUUAAGUGUAAUGUGAUGCUGUAAAUGCUCUAUCAGGAAUUUAAUUCAAGUAGAAAAUGCUCAAUCUUUGCAUUCAUUUUGUUAGAAUCGACUGAAAAUGCUAUAUCAGCACUGUCAAUCCAAAAGUAUUGGUGUUUAAAAACCUAUAUCGGUCAAGUUUAUGUCUCUCCUUCUCUGUCUAUCUCUCUCCCUUUGUGUGUGUGUGUGUGUGUGUGUGUGUGUGUGUGUGUGUGUGUGUGUGUGUGUGUGUGUGUGUGUGUUUUUGACGAGGUGGAGACAGGAGCCCUAACGCUGCAGGAUGGAGAAAGGUGAACAGGAAACAGAAGGUGCCCAUGGAGGAGGUAUAUGACAUCUGUCAGGAUCCAGGGUGGGUGGAGGAUUCAACGCCCCCCCUCCGCCGGCCGAGGGUCACCCAUCGCACCGCAGUCGCUGAAGUUGUCCCGACACCAUGACACUUCUUUGGCAAUGGUGGCCGCAAGCGGACAGCCUCAGACGUUCAAGACACACACAUAUUUUUGAGGUCCUGGAUGGAGGAAGGUCAGCAGACAUGGCAAGGUCGACAAACAAACAAACAAACAAACAGAAGGAAUUAAAAUAGAGAAAAACAGAGCAGAUGAAACAUGGCGGUGUGUUUUUAUCGCUGUAAGGCUGAUGGCAUGUAGCAGCCAUUACUCUCCGAUGUGUCCUCUGCCCCCCAUUGGCUGCAACAACGCCGCCUGACAGAGCUGCCAGUGUCACGUCAUCUCAUGGACGACAAGGGCCACUUCACACCAGGAUCGGUUUACUGUUUCUUACCACUCAGGUAGCUGUGUUCUCAAGACGGCAAAGGUCAUUCACACUUGAUUUUAUAAAAAUCAUUUUUCCUAAGCCAGCGUGAGUUCAAAUUAGAUCUUGUUGUUUUUCUCAUCUUUAUGGAGGGAAAAAGUAAAAGAAAAAUCCUCACAAAAAGAAUUCACAACAGCCUGUUUCAAGACCUCCGACUAAUUGCCAUCUUUGGUUUGGUAGUUUUUAUUAAGAAUAAUUUGAGAUAUUAUAAUAUAAUAUUGAUAAAUAUGGAUAAAAUAAGGCACUGCACACUUACUAGGACUAGUGCAAGUACUGAUUGAUAAAGCCAAGCUCUCUACACCUUCACCAGUGCAAACAACGUUAUCUUUUAUCAUUUUUCAUUUUCAUUUUUAAAUACUUGAUUGGACAAAAAUUAGCAGAGCCUUAUUUUCUCCAUAUUUAAUUGCAUUGCAGUCUUGCACCUUAGUAUUGUGUUCUGAUUGUGUUGAUCUUCUCAAAAGAUGCAGGGAUGUUGUCAUGGAUUAAGAUUUGAAAUGACAGCCUUGCUUAGAAUUUUAUUACCUUUCUGUACCAUUUCAUUUAUAUAAAGACACUUCUAUUUUUAAUUUUUUGCCAGUACUUAUUGUGUUUUAUCAGAAAUAUAACGUGUAGCAAGUAAAAAAGUCAUGUUGUUGGGUUGAAUGCAUUGAUAACCCCCACUUAUGACUGUGCAAGAAUAAUAUAGUUGUUUUAUUAUUUAGACUUCAUCCUAAAUAGCCAGCAGAGCCCCGUUUGUCAUGACUUUGAACACGUUUGGCUCAGGCUGCUGCAGGUGAAGCCCGGGCCUCGCCCCCAUCUGUAUGCAGAGUGUGCCUUUAAAAAAGCAUGUUUCUUUUGUUUAUUCUUUGCGUUGUCUUUUCCUGUCUGUGCAGAGUUUUGACAUUGGAGAUGACAGGUGUCUGUGGGGUGGAGGAGGAGGAGGAGGAGAUGCUGGCAUCAUCACUUCUUUUAUCUUUACAACAAUUUUCUGUUGUGGUCCGGUUCAAAUUCCCACAUCAGCUAGGAAAAUCUUUGAUAGUACUUUUGAAUAAGGCACUGAACCCCCGGCAGCUCCCACGGAACUACCCAGCAGCCACCAACAAACCACUGUGGACUUCCCUGGACGAAUGAAGUUUAAACACAUCACUCAUUUCUCUCAUGUCCCUCCACUCUCUUCUCAGUGUGCUGCAGCUCUCUGACCAAGCUGCAUCCUUCAUUCCUCAUUCUUCUUGAUAGAUUAGAGUUUAUUACUGCGAUCCCAGAUUUGUUGUCACUGUGUAUUUGGGUGGUAAUAUGUUUCCUGGCUCCUAUCCAAUUUGCUGGUGGCUGAUGGGCAGCUGAUUUCAGGGGAAGCAUGAGAAGAAAGAAGGGUAGCUGCUAACCGACAGAGGCCAACCGACUCUCCUCAGGUGAUAAUUGGCUGCUGAUGCAACAUCCAACCCCUCGUAAUUAAUCUCCGCGGUUUUGUGUGUGUGUGCAUCACAAACAACACAUGUUCGCCUCUUUAUACGUUAUGUAAUAGACAUUUUUUACAGUACAAAAUAAAGGAAGGCUCUGUUGGUAUUGAUGGGGGUGAGACCUAAAAUAAUAUACAAGUUUACUUCAUUGCUGAAAUGCAAAAUCUGACCUUCACAUUCAACAUUUUUUUCCACCUUUACUUUCACUAUAUUUUCUUGGGUAACAAUAUUAGUUUGCUCAUAUCAUUGACAGUGCCAGUAUAAGUCUUUCAUUACUGUAAGAAUCUAAGGCCAAAAAAAGUUUAAAGAAAGAUCACCAAGUGCCUGUGGUGCAAGACGUUGACGGGUUGUGAUGUUAGAAAAUCAGAAAAGAGAAUGCCAUAAUGUGUACAAGAGUCUGCCUCAUUUAUUAUUUGCCUAUAUUAGCACAUCUUGAGGUGCAUUAAUGCUUGAAUAUCAGCAGGUUGGUGUUGUCCACUCCUGAUAUGAUGGAGAUGCAGCUUGUUUGAUUACUUACUGUAAAAUUACUACAAUACUACACUUCAUCAUGGUAUUCCCUUUCCCUAGGAAUUACAUCUAUCCUGAACAAUUCCACACCUCACAAUACAUCUAAUGCUAAUGUUCAGUGCCAACAGGAAGUAAUGUCACUUUUAGUGAUGCGGAAAGUUAGGGCAUAACAUAACAUAAUCUGGUGUUUUGCAGAAUAUUCUUGUCUGUCAAGAGGGUGAAUUAUGCAUGGAAAUGUUUUUUAUUAUUAUAGUAUUUCAAUGAGAAGAGUUUCAGUGGAGAGUUAUAGAUUUAUUGUUUCUAACCAACCAAUUGAUUAGAUGACACUGUUUUGCAUCUCAUUUCCUGAUUAGUAUUAUUAUUAUUAUUAUUAUUAUCAUUAUAUUUUCCACCUGUCAAAUAUUUCCAUGUGUCUUUCUUCUCUGGACUCCUCUGGCAGUCACUGUGACAUCAGUGUAUGGGAUCCUCCUCAAAACUUAAAAACAAACAAUUAGUUUAUGUAAAUAACUGCAAAGAAAAGCCUACAAAGUUAAUUAGAAUCCAUUUUUGGAAAACAAUAUUACAGUUUAACGUUUCACAUAAUACACAUCAGGUAGUCCAUGUUAUUACAUUGCAGUUGGUGAUAAGCCGUGAAAAUAACCUGACAGAGUACAAGGCAGAGAUAAGAGGCAGAUAAAAUGAGCAUCUAUCUUACUGUGUUAAUUAAAGAUAAUCAGUCCUUAAAGACAUCCAACUCUUUAAAUUUAUUGAGUUCUGCACCUCAGAGGGAAAAAGACAAAGAACAGAGAGAUAUAAAGACAGAUAGAGACUAAAGCUGUUUCCAUCCAACUGUCAAACAAAUUUUAUGUAAACUUUAGAAAUAUCACCAAAAAUAAAGUGUUAAUUAUGUGUUUCUACUACGUUGAAGUAUCUGUAUACACUUCUUGAAUGUAGAACAGAGCUAUAACAAAAUUACACGCAGGAAACAUGCUGUAUCUCCAGGAUUGAUGAACAUUGAGCACGUUUUCUGAUAUAUUUGCUAAAAGGUAAUAGCCUACACAGUUAGUAGAGAAACUGUUGGCAUGUAUCAUUUCCAUUGGUAUCAACAAAAUCAACAAAAAACAACAAACAAAUUUCAUCCUUUUCUAAUACAAUAUAUAAUUUGCAUAAGAAGCAAUGGACAGACAAACAGACAAGGGAGAACUUCUUUUUAAGUGAAUGGUGUCAGUGCAUCAUCUAUAUCUUUAGAUAAACCACAACAGUUAACUAAAGGCCGGUCCGGGUGUCUUUCCUUUUUUUUUUCAGUGAUUCUGGUGGCGGGCAACAGUAGGAAGCUGGUUUCUUCGCCAGGCUUUGUUCUCUGUGACUCCGCUACGGUAGCUUUCAUUUGACUCCCAGUGUGACUUCCGUGUUAAUUAGGUAAAUGAAUACGUGUGUACAGACGGGGCCGCCCCACACUAAUAGCGACACCAGCACAAUCGCAACAAAAGGGCCCCACCAGCUAAGGCUAAGUUUGUGAUUAAAGGAAAGGCCUCUAUGGCGAGGUGUAACAAAACGGCAUACAGCAGGCUUUGAAGCUUAUUUAUGGCGUUUUAUCUAAUCCCUACCACCCGUGGCUAUGGAGGAGAUAUGGAUGUAUUAUUCAUGAUAAUGUAUGGUGGUGACUCUUAUGCAGAUUCAGAACAAAGGCAAACUUUCUUUUUGUGCCUCUAAACAGCCAAUUAUUUUUUUUUUUCUUAGACUGAUGCGGAACAGAUCAAAUGAUGAAAAAAAACUGUGUUUCUGACGUUUGGUGGACCAGUUUACUGUAUGUUCUUGUCGGUCUUGUUCGUCUCUGAGCCCUCAAGCUAUGGGCUUCCUUGGCAGAACUUCUGACUACAAAUCACAGUUUUAUUCCUCUCACCUAGGGGAUGCCAGAGAUCCUCCAUAGUCCUAGUAGUAAAAUUUGAACUCAGUCCAAAUCCACAUCAUGAACACACAGGUCAAAAAACUAAAGAGAGAUCCUUAAAGAAACAAAUCUAGCCAAAAACAUCUGAAAAUAAUUGGCAGUGUACCUUGCACUUGUGGGUGCUUCGUGUUGUUUGGUGGUAGGGUUUUUUUUUCUCUUUGGCCUGUUAUCCUCUUGAUUUACAAUGUGACAUUGAAAAUACAAUGUCGAUAGUUGAAUAUUUGUUUUACACAUGCAGCUUUCACCAGGAAUCUUUUUUGUGUCUGGGUCAGAGGGAGCAGGGGUCAAUAUUGUGGAAAAGGUUUUACCUACAAUUGACCCAAUUAGGCUGCAUCCAAACUACUAUUGGAUCUCCGUCCAGACGAGCUUUUCUGCUCAGUUUCAGAAGUAAUCUCCGACCAUACUAACACGCCUGAAACGCAUAUAACAUAACCACUCACGUACACUGGGCAUGCGCGUACAGGAACACGACAAAAAUAAUAAGGCAGGGAAAUGUGACUGCUCUUCACAAAAUCCCCCUGGAUAAUGCUGUUUUAGUAUUGUUGUGUCUUUCUAAAUAUAGACAGUAUUCCAUGAAUGUACAAACUCAAAUACUCCACAUUAUCACAACACAUACUCCGAGUUAGCGUUACACAUGUACUCUUUUACUUGGGUUAUUCUUUAAACUGCAUUUGAAUUGUAUUUGCUUUACAGCAGAAGGCUGAUGCUAAAUAACACCUGCAAAAUGGCUGAACACACUAGCAGCAGGCUAAGCUAAGUUACUAGCAAACGUUUAAACAUUGAUUCAUCAAAACGAAUCCAUUGUAGACAACAACGUCCAUGAAACAGUACUUGUAGUCACAACCUUGUACAUUCAAAGAAUGUUUCCCGUUUCUGUUGCUGUAGUCUGUGGAUUAGCAUUGUGGUAUAACUUUACCAUGUGUUUGCUAGAAGUU